rnacentral:rRNA from 1 species
CGAAUCCCCAGGGAUCUCGCGCCCAUGCCACUCCUCCCCCGCUAACCUCUCUCCCUAUUUUCCAACCGAUUUCCAGCUCACCUCACCGCUAGUAUUUUGUGUUUUCCUUGCCGUUUCGCGAGUCUUCCUCGCUCGCCCUCGCUCUAUAAAACCCGGCUGUCGCGCCACACCUGCUUCCACCAUUCUCGGAUUCCUCCGCAUUCGUUCGCUCCCAGCCUCACACUGCACCGAUCAACACCAGCGUCGUCUCAGACUUCUUCUUCUUCCUCUGUCUACUCGGUUGAUUCCUUUGACCCGUCGUUCGUUCGCUGGUCGGUGGUUUCAUCCAUCGUCCGGUCACAGGAGAAGAGCAGCCGGCGCCUCUUUUCGUUGCUUUCUAGCGACCCCUCCGAGUCCGACCUUCCAUGGCCAUCGCCUCCCGCAUCACGAAGCGCGCGCUCUCCACCUUCGCCGCCGCAGCCAAGCUCCCGGAGGCGGCCGUCGCGGCCGCCGGCGCCGAGGCGGUGCCCGCGCCGUCGUCCGCGCAGCACCAGCAGCAGCAGCAGGUCCUGGAGUUUGAGGACACCGAGAGGCUCUUCACCGGGGAGCCGUCCACGGCUCUGGUGCGCACGCUCGCGGCGCUGCAGUUGAUGUCCGCGGGCCCGCUGGUGGACGUGGGCCUCGCGGCGCUGCGGUCUCCGGCGGUGGCCGCCAGCCCCGUGGUCCAGGCCGCGGCGCGGGCCACGGCGUACAAGCACUUCUGCGCCGGGGAGACCGCCGAUGAGGCCGCGGCCCGGGUGCAGCGCCUCUGGCGCGGCGGCAUGGGCGGGAUCCUCGACUACGGCAUCGAGGACGCCGAGGACGGCGCCGCCUGCGACCGCAACGUCGCCGGCUUCCUCGCCGCCGUCGACGUCGCCGCCGCGCUGCCGCCGGGAUCGGUACGUCAACCGUACAUAACUCUGUUUUUUUUCCUUCGUCGUCAUCCGUGGCGUGCGUGCGCGCGUAGCAGUGCUACGGAAGAGUGCCACGUCGGAGGGAAUCCUCGGUCUGCGCUAGUGGACACCCGGAUUCCUUGGGAAUCUUCUCGCAGUAAACUGAAUCGCACGGCUGUCACUGUGCGUGGGCCCUGAAAACCAGCCGCGUGAUCGUGUUCCGACAAGCUCGCCAUCGCCAUGCCUUCUCCACCGCUCGUUUUCAUCUACAGCUUCCCAUCAAAACCCUACUAUUUGUUUUUCCUUAUUUAGACAUUUCCCAGCAGCUUAACCAAAAUAUUCAAAAAUAAUUAGCCAGUCUGAUUAAGCUUGGCACUCCUACUUUAGUACUACUUCCUCCGUUCCUAAAUAUUUGUUUUUUUAGAUAUUUCAAAUGGAUUACCGCAUACUGAUGUAUAUAGAUAUAUUUUAAAGUGUAGAUUCACUCAUUUUGCUAAAUAUUUAGGAACGGAGGAAGUAGUGACUAAUUAUGCUGUGUUUGUGCGUGCAGGCGAGCGUGUGUAUCAAGAUCACGGCGCUGUGCCCGAUCGCGUUGCUGGAGAAGACGAGCGACCUGCUGCGGUGGCAGCACAAGAACCCGUCGGUGCACCUGCCGUGGAAGCAGCACGCCUUCCCGAUCCUGUCCGACUCGAGCCCGCUGUACCUGACGCCGUCGGAGCCGGCGGCGCUGACGGCGGAGGAGGAGCACGAGCUGCAGCUGGCGCACGACCGGCUGCUGGCCGUGGGCGCGCGGUGCGCGGAGCACGACAUCCCGCUGCUGGUGGACGCCGAGUACGCGUCGGUGCAGCCGUCCAUCGACUACUUCACCUUCGUGGGCGCGCUGGCGUGCAACGGCGGCGGGCGACCCAUCGUGCACGGCACCGUCCAGGCGUACCUCCGCGACGCGCGCGACCGGCUGGAGGCCAUGGUGCGCGCGGCCGAGGAGGAGCGCGUGUGCCUCGGGGUCAAGAUCGUCCGCGGCGCCUACCUCACCCGGGAGGCCCGGCUGGCGGAGUCCCUGGGCGUGCCGUCGCCCAUCCACGGCAGCAUCCAGGACACCCACGACUGCUACAACGGCUGCGCGGCCUUCCUCCUGGAGCGCGUCCGCCGCGGGUCGGCGUCCGUGAUGCUGGCCACCCACAACGUGGAGUCCGGGCAGCUGGCGGCGGCGAGGGCGCAGGAGCUGGGCAUCGGCAAGGGCGACCGGAACCUGCAGUUCGCGCAGCUGAUGGGCAUGGCGGACGGGCUGUCCCUGGGGCUCCGCAACGCGGGGUUCCAGGUGAGCAAGUACCUGCCCUACGGCCCCGUGGAGCACAUCAUCCCCUACCUCAUCCGGCGGGCCGAGGAGAACAGAGGACUGCUCUCCGCUUCCGCCUUCGACCGGCAGCUGCUCCGGAAGGAGCUCGUCAGGAGGUUCAAGAACGCGGUGAUGGGACGGGAGUGAGGAGGCCGGCGGGAGGUUCACGUACGGGAGAGAAGCGACGGAGUUAGGAGUUGUAAAUAUGCAUUGUUGUAUCGCGACCUGAAUGAAUGGAAUAAACGAAAUAACGCUGUUGUUCAAUCGUCAGGCUCCGGUUCAGUACUGCACCAAGCUGUUAUUUUUGCCUUUUUGAAAAGAAGCACGUGCUGCUGUGUUUAUUUAUGUUUUCAUCUACGGAAAGGACCAGACACCUACAAACACAGUGAACCACCAAAUGGUCAUAUACUCUUUAUAAAUGCCUUGGUAGAUGGAUCGCAACGUUAC